rnacentral:rRNA from 1 species
UACGGAGGAUGCGAGCGUUAUCCGGAUUUAUUGGGUUUAAAGGGUGCGCAGGCGGACGCUUAAGUCAGCGGUAAAAUUGCGGGGCUCAACCUCGUCGAGCCGUUGAAACUGGGUGCCUUGAGUGGGCGAGAAGUACGCGGAAUGCGUGGUGUAGCGGUGAAAUGCAUAGAUAUCACGCAGAACUCCGAUUGCGAAGGCAGCGUACCGGCGCCCAACUGACGCUGAAGCACGAAGGCGUGGGUAUCGAACAGG